rnacentral:rRNA from 1 species
UGCAACUCGCCUGUAUGAAGUCGGAAUUGCUAGUAAUCGCAGAUCAGCAUGCUGCGGUGAAUACGUUCCCGGGCCUUGUACACACCGCCCGUCACACCAUGGGAGUCGGUAACACCCGAAGUCGGUAGCCUAACCGUAAGGAGGGCGCCGCCGAAGGUGGGAUUGAUGACUGGGGUGAAGUCGUAACAAGGUAAC